UUACGGUCAAAUCACGCUGAAACACCGGUUCUCGUUCGAUCACCGAAGUUAAGCAUCGUAGAGCCAGGUCAGUACUUAGAUGAGGGACCGCUUGGGAACACCUGGUACUGUAAG